GUAGGUGGCAAGCGUUGUCCGGAAUUAUUGGGCGUAAAGCGCGCGCAGGCGGUUCUUUAAGUCUGAUGUGAAAGCCCACGGCUCAACCGUGGAGGGUCAUUGGAAACUGGAGAACUUGAGUACAGAAGAGGAAAGCGGAAUUCCACGUGUAGCGGUGAAAUGCGUAGAGAUGUGGAGGAACACCAGUGGCGAAGGCGGCUUUCCGGUCUGUAACUGACGCUGAGGCGCGAAAGCGUGGGGAGCAAACAGGGAUUAGAUACCCUGGUAGUCCACGCCGUAAACGAUGAGUGCUAAGUGUUAGGGGGUUUCCGCCCCCCUUAGUGCUGCAGCUAACGCAUUAAGCACUCCGCCUGGGGAGUACGGCCGCAAGGCUG
rnacentral:rRNA from 1 species